ensembl:snRNA U1 U1 spliceosomal RNA
AUACUUAUCUGGCAGGGGAGACAUCAUGAUCAUGAAGGUGGUUUUUCCAGGGUGAGGCUUAACCAUUGCACUGCGGGUGUGCUGACCCCUGGAAUUUCCCCAAAUGCAGGAAACUCAACUGUGUAAUUUGUGGUAGUGAGGGACUGCAUUAGCACUCUCCCCUG